rnacentral:rRNA from 1 species
AGAGUUUGAUCCUGGCUCAGGAUGAACGCUGGCGGCGCGCUUAAUACAUGCAAGUCGAGCGGGGAAUCAACUUCGGUUGAGACCUAGCGGCGGACGGGUGAGUAACACGUACGGAACCUGCCUUUCAGUGGGGGACAACCCACGGAAACGAGGGCUAAUCCCGCAUAUGGUAGGCCGGUCUGCGGACCGGUCUAGUAAAGCCUUCGGGCGCUGGAAGAGGGUCGUGCGGCCUAUCAGCUAGUUGGUGAGGUAACGGCUCACCAAGGCGAAGACGGGUAGCCGGACUGAGAGGUUGAUCGGCCACAUGGGGACUGAGAUACGGCCCCAACUCCUACGGGAGGCAGCAGUAAGGAAUCUUGCGCAAUGGGGGAAACCCUGACGCAGCGACGCCGCGUGGGUGAGGAAGGCCUUCGGGUCGUAAAACCCUGUGACAGGGGAGGAGAAAGGACCGUACCCUGGAAGCAAGCCUCGGCUAACUCCGUGCCAGCAGCCGCGGUAAUACGGAGGAGGCGAGCGUUAUCCGGAAUUACUGGGCGUCAAGGGCGUGUAGGUGGCCCUGGCCGGUCCUCGGUGUAAGCCCUCUGCUCAACGGAGGGAGGUCCGAGGAGACCGCAGGGCUUGAGGACCGGAGAGGGGGGUGGAAUUCUCGGUGGAGCGGUGAUAUGCGUAGAUAUCGGGAGGAACACCAGAGGCGAAGGCGGCCCCCUGGCCGGCACCUGACACUGAGGCGCGAAAGCGUGGGGAGCGAAGCGGAUUAGAUACCCGCGUAGUCCACGCCAUCAACGAUGGACCCUAGGUAUAGGGGGUAUCGACCCCCUCUGUGCCGGAGCUGACGCAUUAAGGGUCCCGCCUGGGGAGUACGGCCGCAAGGCUCAAACUCAAAGGAAUUGACGGGGGCCCGCACAAGCGGUGGAGCGUGUGGUUUAAUUCGAUGCUAAGCGCAGAACCUUACCCAGGCUUGAAGAGUCGGUGGUAGAACCCUGAAAGGGGGACGACCUUCGGGAGCCGGCUCAGAUGAUGCAUGGCUGUCGUCAGCUCGUGCCGUGAGGUGUUGGGUUAAGUCCCGCAACGAGCGCAACCCUCGCCGGCAGUUGCGAUUUCUGCCGGGACAGCGGCGCACAACGUCGAGGAAGGUGGGGAUGACGUCAAGUCCGCAUGUCUCUUAUGCCCGGGGCUACACACACGCUACAAUGGGCGGUUCAAUGGGUCGCCAAGGCGCGAGCCGGAGCUAAUCCCACCAAAGCCGCCCCCAGUGCGGAUUGCAGGCUGCAACCCGCCUGCAUGAAGUCGGAAUCGCUAGUAACCGCCGAUCAGCACGCGGCGGUGAAUACGUUCUCGGGCCUUGUACACACCGCCCGUCACGUCAUGAAAGCUGGUUCUGCCCGAAGGCGUCCCGGCUAACCCGUAAGGGAGGCUCGCGUCCACGGUGGGGCUGGUGAUUGGGACGAAGUCGUAACAAGGUAACC